CUGGCAAUGGAGGCGGCGGUGUGAUGAUCUGGCUGACUCCGGUAUUUGAUGGUCUGAAUUUAGAAAAUAUUUAUGAUUAACAUCUGUUUCAUUAAAGGUAAAUCUUGAAAGUCAAGAAAUGUUAAGGUGGGGCAUAAGAAUGUUGGUACUGAUAGCAAAUGAAGUUUUCAUAGCAGUGCACGGCCGGAGGGUGUGGGAGGUAACUGAAUCAUGGCGCGAAGAUGUGGCUAGUGUCUCCUCAUUUCUUCUACGGUGCUGCUUCUGAGUCAAGCUUCAGAUGCUGGGUUUUGUUUUGUCUUGCUGAUGUAUAUAUUAGCUGGUUUAUUGUUGCUGGGUUCUGGUGGUGAUUGAUGAAAUCAUGUCAUGAGGAUCUGACCUGUAGACUUCCAGUACCUGUAGCCUUGUUGCCCUUGUGAACUGAAGCGAUGUGGGCGGUGAUGGGCCGAUGGCUGCCGGAGUUGCUCAA